rnacentral:lncRNA from 1 species
GUUAUACAUAGUUCUGGGCUGCCUGACUUGGGCUCUGGGAACCAGCACCACAGCUCUCUGCUCUGGAGGAGGGAAAUGAUGACAGCACCUAGCUACCUGUUCGCCAGAAUCCCACAUUCCUGAGACCUCUAGGAACCUGGAGACAUCCCAAAGAGCAGGUAAGCAAGGUCCAGCAGUUGGCAAAGGAAGGAGAGCAGACUCAAGUGAAGACAAUCUGCCAAUGUUCUCUGGGACACACGUGCCAUCUGAGACCAUUGCAGUCAUCACCACCUAAGGACAUACGCAGAAGAACAAUGCCAGCCAUGUCUGCAGAGGAGGUACAGAGGGAACAACAAAGGGAGGCCGUGUAAGAGAUCAAGGGAAAUUUUCAACAGGAUGGACAAGAAAAGCAGGAGUUGGACUCCAAUCAAGAGCAAAAAAUGCCAAAAGAGAAAGAGGCUGGGGAUUGGCUGAAAGGUCCAGAGCUGAGGGCAUGCACACAAUGCCCAGUGUUAUAGGCUGAGAUGCCACAAGUGAGUAGCCGCCGCCGUUCGCCAAGCUCUUUAUCUACAAAUCAG